CCGUCUUCUUCCUCUCUCAAGUCUCAACUACCCGAAACCAGUUCAGUCAGUCUCAGACUCUCAGCCUCUCUCAGCUCCACCAUUUCCGAAUUCUCCAAAAUUCUCCGAUACCCAAAUAAUCCAAAUCAUAAAAUCAAUAUCAAAAGAAUGGCUUCUCUCUCCUGCGACCAGUCUCUCUAUCGCCGCCGUCCAAUUCAACCGUUUCCAAGGCGUUAUCUCUUACUAUUCUAUUACCGGACCGCCGGAACUCGGUGGUUCGGCACCAGCACCGCCGAGUCAACUCGGACCGAGUUCACUGAAGAGAACGCCUACGAGCUCUUAGGCGUUUCGGAGACGAGCUCAUUCGCCGAAAUCAAAGCGUCGUUUCAUAAAUUGGCGAAACAGACUCACCCGGACCUCGUUCAGUCCGGUAACGAUUCCGACGUUUCUCGCCGAUUCGUUCAAAUCCUCGCCGCCUAUGAGAUUCUUUCGGAUUGCAAAAGGAGGGCGCAUUAUGACAGGGACCUGUUAUCUCAGCGAAAGCUUAUGCAGAAGCAAUCCGGGGGAGGUGGUGCAUUGCACUUGUAUAAGUUUCAUAGUACAUAUAGGGGGAUGGAAGUUGUUGAGUGGCUGAAAUGGUAUAGAAUUGCUAUAAGUGAUGUGUUGGCGGAGAGGAAGGUGGUUGUUGGAACAGGUUAUUUUGAUGGGCUUGAGAGAGAUUUUUAUUCAGCUAUACAUGCGGCGUAUUAUGGUCCUGAUAUUGAGUCUAUCGACUUUCUUCCCGACUGCUUUGAAGCUGAAGAGAGGUCUGUGUAUGAAACUCCGGAGGUGCUGCAUUUGGUUUCGGGGCGUGAUAUUUUUGGGAUGGUCUGCCUAGUAGAUAAAGUUCCAGAGCUGCCAUAUUAUAGCAAUAAGAGGUUAAAGUAUUCCACAUCAGCGGGUUUAGGUAUUUGCCAAUCUGGUGAGGAUUUGAGAAUCUCUAUGAGCUCGGGUGGUGUUUAUAAUGAUGGAUAUGCCCAUAUGCAAGCUGCGGAUGUCUCAACCCACACAUCUGAUCCUUAUAGAGAUUUAGAAUUGCAUAUAUCUGGAAGGGUGGUUGCUACAGCCACAAGAGUCCCUCCCAAAAGCCAUCGUGACCGGAUACAGAAUGAAGACACCGAUCACAUUCACGUUUUUCUGAGCUCUGAUGAUAAUCCUGUGCAUACCAGCAAAGGGUUUACUGAAGCUUCCUCUUCAGGCAGUGCUGUGGGAUCAAGGAUUCUAUUGGGAACUAUAACUGGAUUGCGGUCUAGCUCAGAAGAAGGGUCUUGCCUUGUCUACAAUAGCAGUGGUACCAAAACCCAUGUGAUUAUGAAGCAUAGAACACUUCUGGUGAAACACAUGCAUUGGUAUGGAUUGGGAGACAAUGUUUCUGUAUGUGAGUGUAGAUGCACAAGAGCACAAUUACCACCAAGCAAAUUUUGGUUGUUUGAGCCUCGUUGUGGCAUGCAUGACAUAGGCGGUUGGUAUGUUGAAACAUUUGGCAAAGAUAAGAAAGGACGGUUAUCACCAUCACAGAGAUAUUGGGAUGGCUUUGAUGCAAGGGAACAAUCUGAGAAGAGACUCCAUCCUGCGAUGUACCUUCUUGCUAUGGGAUAUAGAACUUUAGAUCUUGAAGAUGCAAAAAGAAGGAAACAUACAUUCAGGGAUGUUGUCGACAGAAAGCUCUUUAAAAUACUCAAUUGGUGCAAAAGACUUGUUUAAGACUAACAGGUAUACUAGUUUGGGUUUUGCACACCUUGGAUGCGUAAGCUCUUGCAUGGAAAAGUCAUUGUAUCUGAGAACCAAAAAUGAUUAUUGAUUUUGCUUCACUCUAAUCAGGGUUUCAGAAAGCAUCAAGUAAUGCAAGAGUGAUAAAGAAUCUCCUGCUAUUAGUUUUCACCAUAGUAAAGAUUCCUGUUAGCAUGUGAUUGAAGAAACUGGUCUAGAGUAUGCAUGUUUGGGAGGGAUACCAGUUUGGCCUCUCUUACACUAAUUUGGUUCAGGUAAUAUAGCUCAGAAAGAUGAUCUUGGCGUAUGAUUGAAGUCAACUGUUUAGAGCUGACAAUUGGUGGUAGAAACUUUUUGGAAGGGGAUAUGCUUCUGGCUUUACUCUACUUUGUCGAGUGAUCUGCCAUGGUAGAAUGCUUGAUAUUUGUGAUCGGAGGCUCUGGUUUUGUCUUCAUGCAAACAUCAGUUUUCAAGGUUGCAAGGACUCCAAGUAUGAUUUUCCAGAUCAUUUCUAUACUCCUAUUAUUGUUGAUGGAUAUGACAUCUCAUCCUGCCACCAAGAUUUUCUAUAAAAACUAUCAUUUGGCUAUGCAAGGGGCAUAGCUGCCAAGUUGCUUCUGCAGCCAUUUUUUUGAACACUAUUUCCGGAAAUGCUGUUUUUCACAUGGAGAGUGCCAUAUCAUAUAGAUCUCCAUCGAAGAGUCAAAUCUUUUUUCAGGUAGUUCAUUUGGCUGAAAGCAUUGAGGUGGUAGAAUUCAUGGGAGCACACCAAUGGCAGUUUGAUGUUGGCCCAGAUAGUAGUCUCUAGGAUAUUAUGAUAGGUUGCACUCUCUUCAAAUUGGAUGGAUAUCAAGUUGUUAGUACCUUGUAAGAGCCCAAAAGUCUGUCACGAGCCAGGACCUACAGGGAAAAUAAAGAGUGGUUAGUUUUCAAUUGCAAAAUUUGACACAUGUUUUCUGCAUUAUCUGUCUGAGGUACAGAAUGAUGGACGAUCACCCCCCUUGCUAUAUUCUAUCUGCCUUUCAAAAUCUCAAAAAAUUAAAUCCCGAUGCUUCACAUUAGUCUGCUAUAUCAUUUAUUCAGGAGUUGUUGGCAACGAGAUGUAGUGGUUCCGUUCUAGCAAAUUUGGUAACAUGCCUCUGGCAGAACAGGUAUCAUAAAUUACUUUCCCUUUGUUUCCACUCUCUUCAGCAUAUUCUUAUUGGUACAAUACGAUCUAUUUUAUUUCUCUACGCAAUCAAACAAUGAAACUUGAUGUGAUUAUGGUUCGCUGAUACUUUUGCCUCAAUCAAGUUGCCACAAUAGGCAGUUUGUAUUUUUGGUUUUUGUAGAAAAUGAUAUUUUGAUAGAUUGAUGUUUACAAAUGUACACAUAUAUAGCAAUAAGGUACGGCUGUUACAAUUCAACAAUUAAACUCUAUUUACAGCUAUAAUCAAAACUGAUAUGCAAUCAUAGCAGAAUCAAAACAGCCUAUGUAUUCAAUACUUCUUCCCAUCAGAUAUAUUUCUAAUUUGAUUUGUUCUUCUUUUUUCGUCUCUACUUUUAGUACGUAUGACAUUUACUCGAGAUUUGCAGUUUUGCACUGUUCCAAUCCCUGCUUUAUCAUAUAAUACUCGAGGCACAGAAACAAUUUAACCUUGGUCAAUUAUUAGUCUCUGGUGUAGGCAGGAUACCUUUCCUCAUAAUCUAAAAUUUGAACUUUUGGCUAUAAAGGCAAUAAUAAUCAGCUAGCCUAUGUGAUUUUUUAAUUCCUUUCACGAAUCCAUCAUUUUCUGGUUAUUCUAUUUGGUCUGCUACAGUAGACUACUUAAAUAAGAAGGUUAACUUUUCUGGUGGGAGUUGGAGGAUCAUCUUUGUUCCUGAUUUCCGUUCUAAAGGAACAACAGGGGAUUCACUGUCCUCUCCCUCAUUAAUACCUUUGCUCUCCAAGAAGAACAAAAAAUGAAUUGAACAGGGAACACAAUAAGAAAGAAUAUGGGAAAGGU